GAUGAACGCUGGCGGCGUGCCUAAUACAUGCAAGUCGAGCGAACAGACGAGGAGCUUGCUUCUCUGACGUUAGCGGCGGACGGGUGAGUAACACGUGGAUAACCUACCUAUAAGACUGGGAUAACUUCGGGAAACCGGAGCUAAUACCGGAUAAUAUAUUGAACCGCAUGGUUCAAUAGUGAAAGACGGUUUUGCUGUCACUUAUAGAUGGAUCCGCGCCGCAUUAGCUAGUUGGUAGGGUAACGGCUUACCAAGGCAACGAUGCGUAGCCGACCUGAGAGGGUGAUCGGCCACACUGGAACUGAGACACGGUCCAGACUCCUACGGGAGGCAGCAGUAGGGAAUCUUCCGCAAUGGGCGAAAGCCUGACGGAGCAACGCCGCGUGAGUGAUGAAGGUCUUCGGAUCGUAAAACUCUGCUAUUAGGGAAGAACAAAUGUGUAAGUAACUAUGCACGUCUUGACGGUACCUAAUCAGAAAGCCACGGCUAACUACGUG
rnacentral:rRNA from 1 species